CACUGUCUGUGAGGGAGACAUAAUUUAUUUUAUUUACAAACUUUAUAUUCCAGCACACUGCUGCUCAAGGCAGCUGACAAUAAAACUCUAAAAGAGAGCACUCACAAUAAAAUAUUUUAUGUUUUACAUUUAUAUCCCGCCCUUCCUCCAAGGAGCUCAGAGUGGUAUACAUGGUUAUUUUUAUCCUCACAGCAACCCUGUGAGGUAGAUUAGGCUGAGAGAUACAUGACUGGCCCAGAGUCACCCAGUGAGUUUUAUGGUUGAAUGGGGAUUUGAACUCGGGUCUUCCAGGUCCUAGUCCAACACUCUAAUCACUACGCAACAUACAAUACAACAAAAUAGAACACAGUAAGGCACACUAAAAUGAUAUUGAUUUGUCUAUGUAAACUGCUUUGAGAAUUCCGGUUGAAAAGAGGUUCAUUGCAGUAGGAAAAGACAGCAAGAUAUCGAUAGCCAAGAGACUCAUUGGAAAUCACCCCUGGAAAUCACCCCUGUCCCUGAUGUGGGAGACUGGACGUCGGAUAUGUUGCUGCUAGCAGCAAGAGAGCAAACAGCACUCCUAAAGUUGUGUCUCCUUACCCAAUGAAGUGGUAUGCCUGUCCCCCUCCUGCACAAUCCACUUGAACAGAGGCUUCAGUCCGGUAUCUGAUGAGGUCUUUCCCGCUUCAUGAACAGCUACUUCUGCUGACUGUCCCUGCACCUACAAGAGUGGCAUGAAUCCCAGGGAGAAAAGAAUUAGCCAUUUUUACAUCAAAGACCACAUGAACAUCACACGGAGAUCUUCCACCAUCAGAGAUGCUGAUGAGGAGGUUAGGCUGAGAGCUACAUGACUGGCCCAGAGUCACCCAGUGAGUUUCAUGGCUGAAUGAGGAUUCGAACUCGGGUCUUCCUGGUCCUAGAUUUUUAUUGUUCUUGACUGCUUUUGUUAAUUUUACAAUAAUUGCUCUAUUGUGCACCAUUUUCUUGGCCACUCAAAUUUUUUUUAAUCAAAAGGAGGAAGAUGAAGCAAUUAAAUCAUUAACAUGAAACAGUGCUGCAAGCAAAGAAAAGAGUCUGGGAUAUACAUUUCUUGGAGCAGAGGGAAAGGGAAUUUUUGGUCUUGUGCAUAUUUUCUCAGACCCUUGGAAUUAUGAGGUUCAAACUAGGCAAGAAAUAGGGAGAUGGAUUAGAAAAGAAAUGGUGCAGGCAAAGGCCGAGGGUUUGGGACAGCUCAUUCCUUGGGCGAUUUCGAGGAAAAGGCUGAGAAAACAAUGGGAACUAGCUUAACCCACACAGAGCACCUGCCCACUAGUACUUGAUUGCUCCCCUCACCCCCUGACACAGCCCCAGCUCACCUCGGAGAUAUCUCCACCCUCACCUGAGCUGCGCUCCUGAUCCUCUUCCUCCAUCCGGUUGCUUCCAUCCCCCUCACCCCUCUUGGUCGUAGCUGCAGCUUUGCUGGCCCCUAUUGGCCAAGCUGCAGCCCCCUAUCCCCAGAGACCUCCCCACCCUCACCCAAGCCCUGCUCCUCCCCACAGGAGCAGCAGCAGCAUUUGACCAGGCCCUUCCUCUUUGCUGCCACCACCAUGGCUGCUCGUUCCCCUCAGGCCGCUGACAGGCCCGGGCCUAUCCCUCACCCUUCCUUCCUUCCUUCCUUCCUUCUUCUCCUCUCUCCACUCACUCUUUCCCUCUGUCUUCCUUCUCCUCCCUUCUCUCUCUCUCUCUCCCUCCCUCCCUGAGUUAACAGAUUUUGUUCAUCUUGUUUCCUCAUCUAAUUCACACAACAGCAGCCUCUUCUCCUGAAGGAGCUCCUUCCUCCCUCACAACCCAUCUUUUUGCAGACCCCUGCCUGCUAUCCUUGUAUAUGUAGAGAGAGAUUCUUCUCCUCUUCAAUCAAGAACAUCUUCCAACCAGUAACAGUUUCAUUCCAACUGACUGUAACCAUCACAGGCUCCUCCUCCCUAUCUGCUAAUGGAAUCCCCACUGCCCAAUCACCAUGGUGCUUCUGCUCUCACAGGCUCCUCCCCCAUCCACAUAUGGAAUCCCCACUGCCCAAUCACCAGAAUGCUUCUGCUCGCAAACUCUCAUGAGAGCUGCCACGAAUGGGAUUAGCCAUGGAUAUUUUUAGGAUUUGGGCCCACACAUUCACAACCCCUGGGAACUAGCAUAAUAAAAUACUCUCACCUGCUGCUCUUU